ACACAAGGAAGGAGGUGGUCCGCGAAAUUGAUAGCUUCAUGGACAUGUGAGGUGGCUACCCGCUAGCUGCAUUGGCUCGGAAGAGCCGGCGACACACGCGCGCUGGCGAAUUCCCGGUAGCCACCCGGCCCCCGAGUUCCGAUCUGUCCAAUCGGAGAAUCGCUCGGGGGCCGCUCCAU
rnacentral:sRNA from 1 species